AUUGUUGCUACUUUCAAGUUUUUACUGCGUAUGGCCUAAGACAAGAUUCAAAUGGAGGUUGAGGAGAUGGAAUUCUUCCAGUCAGCUUACGAUCUAAAUGUACAGCUGAAUGUUUUUCUAGUAAAAUACUGCAUGAAAAGAUGAAAUUAAAUUACAAUAUCCACGACUAAUACGGCCUUUUACAAGCCUCUUAUAAUGAAUCCAUCAUUUAUACUAAAAAUUAGUAAUUUGAGUUAAUAUUAAUAAUGGACUUAUAUUUUAUUUAAUUCUCGAAAGGAAUAUAGUUAAUUUUCAAUACUUGAUGCACACACCUUUCCUCAACAAAAAUAAAUGAAACUAAGGCUCCAGUCCUUUACUUAAAAAGGAUAUGCAUUCUAAUUAUACAAUAUCGAUCUAGUAAAAUUAUACCUUCAGGAAUUCAACUGAAGUUCUUGAAGUUUCAACUUCCUUCGUCUUCUCCUUUCCUCUAAUCUUUUCUUUGCAUUCGCAGUACGUUGAUUUGGACUCUUCAAAUCAUAAUCCACGCGAGAACUAGUUGCAACUUUAACUUGUGGUUUUUCAACAUCAGCACUUGUAGUUACGUUCGCUUUUGAUUGGUAUACUGACGUUGGAUUUGUUUUUCCAAGGUUUGAGCUUAAAGAAGAUAACACGUUUGGCGUCACUCUUGCUUUUGGCAAUUGCUGCAAGGUAGUAGCAGAAGAUAAGCUACCACCAUCUUGUGGGAAACUAAGUUUCGACGGUAAGUGGGACUUCUUUGCUGCUAUUGAAAAUGGAGCAGGUGUAGGAGUUUGAUUAGACUGCAUUAAAUUCAUACGUACUUUGGAAGCUGCGGAAAUAGGAGUUGAUGAAAUUAUUCCUUCAGAAGGUAUUAGGUUUGUCGUAUGGGACUUUUUUGAUGAAUGAGUCAGCAUUUGAGCUGCCAAAUGCGACAUAUCUGCUCCCCGAUGUAAAUUCUUGGAAGGAACCUGUUCUUGAGGCUCACGCACAUCAGAUUGGGAUGGCCUAGAAACAACUUUAGUAGUAAUCGGACUUGGCUUAGCAGUAUAAAGCUCCCUCAUUUGGCUAAAUCUAUUUCCAACGAAUUCCUUGCCUUUGUAUUUUGACUGUUGUCCUUGAUGAUUAUGGAUUUUCUCCGUUUCUAAAGCUCGACAACGUUGUUUCCAAAAAUUGAUUUCCUCUUGUUUCUCUAAAAUUAAGGAUUCCAAACGCUCACGGAUAGAGGUUAAUUCUAACUCAAGAUCCGAAUGAGCAGAAUCUAGCAUACUAAACUUUUGCUUCCAGUAUUUUCCUGAAGAGGAACGAGGCGCAUCAAGGUUUAUCGUAUAGUCAGGUUCAUCCAAGCUCUCAGAGGGAAAAGCUUGGGAUGUGUCAAUCAUAACGUCUUUAAUAAUUUCCUUCAUUUUUCGAUUAUUGUUCACAACAUCUCGAAAGCAAUCCUUCAUUAAACUUGACCAGUCAUUAUUAUUGUUACUAUCCCAUUUGAAUUUAGAGAUCUCGGCAUCCAUCGAGUGAGGAUAUUUUUUCUUUGAAGGGACAUCUUCGCCUAAUCUCUGAUUGCUUUUUGUCUCAUUUUUAUAGGAUUCAUUGAUAUUAAUAUUAUAGCGAUUAUCAAACUCGUCAUGCUUACUUUUGUUUUCAUUAUCCGGAUUAUUAAUAUUCGGUUUUGGAGUACUCUGUAACAAAGGGGAUUUGAAUUCUUCAUGACCCAUUAAAGGAUUCUCAUCAUCUAAUCUCGUAAAUAAGAAAUUAUUUUUCGUUGGACGAUUCCACGUCGCAGCAUCUUUUGAAAUAUCUUUGAAAUUGACGGUCUUCUUUAUUUGUAAAGUACCUGGAGUUUUCAAAAUCCCAUUUUGUGCUGCUUUACUUUUUAACGGAGUUAAUGUCUCAGUUGGGCGCAGGUCUUCUUUUGCGUCUUGCGGAAGUUCUGCAUCAGAUUCUGCAUCCUCAAUGUAAGAGGACAUUUUUGUAACAGGCUUCGUCACAGUUCCUGCUAAUUUACUAGAAAAUGCUUUCAAAACCCAUGCAUAUGUUGGCGGAGUGUUCAAAGUUUCUAAAUUUUGAGAUUAGCUUUGUUUACAUAGGAAUUCCUUACCUGACAUUCUAUCGGAUCUCUGAAUUGUUCUGCAUGUAAAAAUAUAAUUAAAAAUAUAAAUAAUUUAAACGAAUUUAACAAAAUUAUGUCCAAACAACCCAACUUUAACAAUAUUUCCCAAUUCGGUGGUUUUCAACGUAUGGCACAAACACAACAAACUAAUAAAGAACCCGAUCGCAUGUUACAUUGGACGUCCUCUCAGUACACUAUUUUACACACUGCGUAUCGUCAUAUUUCUUUUAAUAUGUGAACUCGUUAUUGUAUGUUAAUAAACUUUGUGAUAUCGUGAACGGUCUUUUCGCUAUAUGGAGGAGGUAAUUGAAUAGGAAGUAGAGUAUAGCUGCAAUGAAAUAC